GACGAACGCUGGCGGCGUGCCUAAUACAUGCAAGUGGGACGCAAGGACACACACUGUGCUUGCACACCGUGUUUUCUUGAGUCGCGAACGGGUGAGUAACGCGUAGGUAACCUGCCUAUUAGCGGGGGAUAACUAUUGGAAACGAUAGCUAAUACCGCAUAAUAUUAAUUAUUGCAUGAUAAUUGAUUGAAAGAUGCAAGCGCAUCACUAGUAGAUGGACCUGCGCUGUAUUAGCUAGUUGGUAAGGUAAGAGCUUACCAAGGCGACGAUACAUAGCCGACCUGAGAGGGUGGUCGGCCACACUGGGACUGAGACACGGCCCAGACUCCUACGGGAGGCAGCAGUAGGGAAUCUUCGGCAAUGGACGAAAGUCUGACCGAGCAACGCCGCGUGAGUGAAGAAGGUUUUCGGAUCGUAAAGCUCUGUUGUAAGUCAAGAACGUGUGUGAGAGUGGAAAGUUCACACAGUGACGGUAGCUUACCAGAAAGGGACGGCUAACUACGUG
rnacentral:rRNA from 1 species